UUUUAAACACUCAAGGAUGUUUGGUAUGUAUAUCUUUGAUUGCUGCUCAACCUUUUUUUUCCUAUAUGAUGUUUACGCCUCGUGUUUACGCUCGAUUACAUUAUGAUUUCCAGUGAUAUUCAGCUUAAGAAAAAAGAUGCACAAAAGGACAAAUGGUGAUGUUCAGAUCAAAGGAGUUGAUCAUCUGUGGAAUCAGCAAAGCUACAUAGAAAUGAAUAGUCUACAACUUGAAAGUUGGGGUCUUAAAGGGCUUGCAAAUUUGUGGUUGGAGCUGAGAAUGAAAUCAGUCAAAAACAAUUUUAUUUUAUAACUUCUUUAAUUCAAAAGCUUGGUGAUUACAUUUUUA